CUAACAUCCAAUCAAAUAUCAUCCUUAAACCCAACCCAUCAGUGCGCCCAAACCCAAAUCCAGAAUUGCCGGAUUGCUCUCAAUUCGUGAAACACAAAUCUAUUCGAGUGCGAGCUAUCUCAAGUUUCAGAAACCCUAGAAAUUCGAAAUGGAGAGAGAAAAAUCGAAUAGGAGAGAACGAGCAUCCAGAGACGACGACGACGACCGCCGCCAUCAUCAUCGCGACCGUUCGAAGCACCACCAUCGCGACGAUGAGAACCGACACCGAUCCGAUGAUCGAAGAGGUCGCGAUCGCGAACGCGAAAGGCAUCGCGAGAAAUCACACGAAUCGGAAGUUGUCAGAGAAAAAUCUUACGAUAGAGAGGAUUCCGUGGAGAGAAGGCAUUCGCAUAGGAGGAAAGACGAUAGAGAGAAACGCGAGAAAUCGUAUGAGAGAGAGGAUUCAGUGGAGAGAAGGAAUGCACAUAAGAGGAAAGAUAGAGGAGAAGAGAGUGUGGACAAGAGCAAUGGGGGAGAUGAGAAGAGAGCUAGGGUUUCAGAGGAUAAGAAGGAGGAGAGAAGAGAGAGGAGGAGAUUUGAUGAUAAAGUGAAGAAGGAGGAGGAAGAGGAUGUGGAAAUUGACGAGGAAAGGAAGGGGAAAAGAUUUGAAAUGAGAAUUGUGAAGGAAGAACCGAAACCCGAGCCCAAUGAUAAUAAUGGUCAUGGUGUUGGUUCCAUUGAUAAUGGCGUGACAAUGGGACCAUACAAUGCAGCAUUGAGGACCUCCCCUGAUAAAUCUUCGACUCGUAUUGAUCCUCCUGCUACCAAGGUAUCUUCAAUUUCUACAACAAAUGAAAAUAAGGGAGUUAAUAUUAACAGAUCUCAUGCGGUUCCUGGGAAAUCUAGUACAGAUGGGGCAGCUUCUGAUGCUGGCAAGAGUGCCACCUUAUCCCUUGAUGCCAAAGGAAAUGCAAAGGCUCUCAUACAAAGGCAGAAGGAGCUGGCAGCAAAGCUUAAGAAAAUUCCUUUGCUAAACAAGGGUGCCGACUUUACGAGAGAGGGAAGUUCACAGAUUGGUCGCAAGGAUAGUCUUUAUGCCGCUUCAACAGAUGCGGGGAUAUUGCCCCCACCGGUUGCAUCUUCAAAUUCUGGGAUAUUACCCACUCCAAGUUCAGCACCUAGCACAUCGACUAUAGCUGUGGCUUCUGCAAAUACGCCACCCAGUGGCUUACCUCAGGUUGCGGGGCUCACAGUCACAGCACAGAACUAUGAUAAAGUGAAGCGUGCACAUGAGCUUUUUGCUAAGAUGGGAUUCCGGCAGGACCCGGAGUUUCCCCCCCUCAUUAACAUGUUUCCUGGGCAAAUGCCUCCAGAGGUUACCAUUCAGCCAAAACCCGCUAGAGCCCCUGUUCUUCGUUUGGAUGCAUUAGGCAGGGAAAUCGAUGAACAGGGAAAUGUGGUUAACGUGCCUAAGCCAUCUAGCACCCUUAAGGUGAAUAUCAACAAGCAGAAAAAAGAAAGCUUCCAAAUUCUCAAACCUGAACUUGAUGUUGAUCCUGAUAAAAAUCCUCAUUUUGAUCCGAGGAUGGGGAUUGACAAGAACAAAAUUUUGAGGCCAAAGAGGAUGUCAUUUCAGUUUGUGGAGGAAGGUAAAUGGUCCCAUGAUGCAGAAUUAAUUAAGUUAAAGCAAAGCCAAUAUGGUGAAUCACGAGCCAAAGAGUUGAGGGCAAAGCAAAUGCAAUUGGCAAAGGCAAAAGCAGAGCCUGUCAUAAAUCCAAAUCUUAUUGAGGUGGCAGAGAGGGUUAUCACCAAGGAAAAACCAAAGGAACCAAUCCCUGAUGUUGAGUGGUGGGAUGCUCCUCUGUUACGAUCUGGUACUUAUGGUGGUAUGGUCGAUGGUGACUUAACUGAUGAUAUGUUGAAGAUGGAGAAGAUCACUAUUUAUGUUGAACACCCCCGCCCUAUUGAGCCUCCUGCUGAACCUGCUCCACCUCCUCCACAACCAUUGAAGCUGACCAAGAAGGAGCAGAAGAAACUACGUACCCAGCGUCGACUGGCUAGGGAGAAAGAAAGGCAGGAAAUGAUACGUCAGGGCCUGUUAGAACCACCAAAACCAAAAGUUAAAAUGAGCAAUCUUAUGAAAGUUCUUGGCUCAGAAGCCACUCAGGAUCCCACAAAGCUUGAAAUGGAGAUCAGAAGUGCUGCUGCUGAGCGAGAACAGGCUCAUAUAGACAGAAAUAUUGCUCGAAAGCUCACUCCUGAUGAACGUCGUGAGAAGAAAGAAAGAAAACUAUUUGAUGAUCCAAAUAUCGCACCGGAGACGAUAGUUUCGAUAUACAGAGUUAAUGACCUUUCACACCCUCAAACUCGCUUCAAGGUUGAUGUUAAUGCUCAGGAGAAUCGCAUGACUGGGUGUGCGGUUAUCUCGGAAGGUAUAAGUGUGGUGGUAGUUGAAGGUGGUAAAAAGUCCAUCAAGCGGUAUGGGAAACUUAUGCUUAGGCGAAUAGACUGGGCUGCUGCUGUUAAGAAAGAAGAUGAUGAAGACGAAGAUGAUGAAGAUAAGCCUCUCAACAAGUGCGUGUUAGUCUGGCAAGGGACUGUUGCUAAAUCAAGCUUCCAUAGGUUUUUUGUUCACGAGUGCAGGACUGAGGCUGCUGCUCGUAAGGUCUUUGCUGAUGCUGGGGUUCCUCAUUACUGGGAUCUUGCUGUAAACUUCAAAGAUGAUGAAUUUUAGGUUCUUUGGAUAUUAUUUCGCCAUUGCUUAUGAUGAACUCGAAUAUCAGUUCAAGCUUCCUACCGAUGAAAAGCAAGGGGAAUACUAGCACUCAUUUUGUAGUUUCAUUUUCUUGAAGAGCACUAAUGACUUUUCUAAUGCGUUGGUGUCCAUGUUGUUGAUGACCUGGGUAAAACAUGUUUUUUAUCUUGGUAGCUUCUACUUGCUGUUGCUCCAUCUAGUAUUACUUUAAUUGUGCCAUCUGUUUGUUUUGUUGCAUGGAAUCUAUUUAGAGAUUGAGUGA